CAGAUGACUGGCAAUGCUCUGGAAUUGCCCCGUCUAAGUGACCUCUGGGGUUGCCAUGUUGUUGGAUUGUUUCCUGAUGGAUCCCUAUUCUCAGUAUUUUUUCAACAGCUGGUCUGCAGCACUGCACAAACUGAUGUGUAUCGACAUUUACCGAUAAAGCUCUAGUCCUGCCAUGCCUACCUGUAUAGAAGAACCCUGCUCUGGCCAGUUGCUCAGGAUACAGCUCUGUGUACGGUGGCCAGCUCUGGAAAGUGGCUAGUCGCAUCGCCUCCGUUUCCAUCUCCGGGUAUUCUGGUUGACUGGGCAGGGCUGCUUCUUCCACAUCCAUCCUCUGUAGGAGGCUGAGGAUCUGCCCAUCCACAUAGUCCAAGAUCUCCAGAAAGGGGAGCAUCUGCUGGUUGCCAACAUCUUCACCACAGAUGAACUUACAGAUCAUUGCAGCUGCCAUUCUGGAGGGUGUGGUACACCUUGCAAGACCUGAGUGAUUUCACCUGCUGGGGAAAUGCCUAUUGCUGCUUUCCUCUGAUUGGCCAUUCUACCUUUCAUCUCCAUUCACUCCCCCUGGGAGGGGAAGGGCCCAGGUGAACAUUCAGCCAUGUCUCCUACUAGUCUUUCAGUAAGUAACUGUUCAGGUAGCUAGAGCAGACCUCACCCCCCUGUUGCUGUUUGGGACACUCCCUAUACAUACCCACAGUUGUCAUCCCUCCUUCUCCCGCCCCUGAAAUCCCCCACUGAAAGUGGUAGCUGAACAGCAGGCUCAGAGAUUCUCUGUGGAAAAGGAUGUCGUGAGGGAUGCUUAAAGUUGUGUGCUGGAGGAUUUCGUGGAGAUUCACUCUUAGCCCUCGCAGCACCCUGGAGACCAAUUAGGAGCUAGGAGACCUGCUGUAGCA